CGCAUUGUCUUUUAAAACCAAAUUGAUCUUCCGUUAAUACACUUUCUACUGUGUUUUCUAAAGACCUCGUAAAAAAGCCGAAAAUAUUUCAGCCAAACCGUAAUCUGUCGACUAAGACAAAUAUUUAAUCCGGAACAUAUUUCGUCCAACACGUAUUACCGACACUACUAGUUGUGUUGUACUAGCGUUAGUUAUAAUGGAGGGGGAUUUAUCGGCUGAAAUACAGUUUGGAUUAAAUAUGUCUUGGCUAAAAUACGGAUUAUUGGAUUA